CAAGUCAAAGAACAUUAACUUCAAAAUAAUACAUGAAGAAGAAUAAAGACAUACCAUCUACAUCAACAAACUUGUGGAGGAUAGGUACGCUCAGAAAAGAGGCUGAGUAGGUAUCUUGCAAGGAAGCCCAUCUAAGACCAACAACACCUCCAGGUCGUUCCCGAUCAUCUACAUAUUAGGCCACAUAUGAUAUCGUGCAAGGUUCUUGGUCAAAUAAAAUGAAAAAUGAGGAGUCUCACCAUCAUAAAAAUAUUAUCAACAUGCCUGUUCGAUCAUGACCUUAAAGAAGUUCCCCUUGAAAUUUUUAUACGACGAAGUAAAGGAUGUUAAGAGACAAAUUCUUGACUAUCCUAUUAAUGACAAUCACCCCACCCGGUCUCCCGGCCUAGUGCCAUAGAAAUGUAGAGAAUGACCUCAACGUUGACUUCAAACUUAACACCUGAUAAAGAAAUCGAAAAGUCUGCAACGACGCUCAAUUAUUCAUAUAUAAUUGUGUGGGCUUAACAUUCAAAGUACGCAAGACUCCCAUGGUGAACUCGUGUAGUGAAAAUUGGACGUGAACAUCAUUAUUAGACAUGAAUAAAAAUAAAAGAUAUCCUCAAAUAAACCUUCUGAUCCAAGGCAGGUGACACCCAAGGGCUUGCACUUACACAAGGAAAUUAUACCAUCCGGAAUUCAUCCUCAAGAAUAUCCACACUAUUGGAAAAAGACUGAAGCAUGGAGGCAUCCCG
rnacentral:lncRNA from 1 species